UACGUAGGGACCGAGCGUUGUCCGGAAUCAUUGGGCGUAAAGAGCGUGUAGGCGGCCCCUUAAGUCCUGCGUGAAAUCCUGCGGCUCAACCGCAGACGGUCGUGGGAAACUGGAGGGCUAGAGUGCGGGAGAGGAGAGUGGAAUUCCCGGUGUAGCGGUGAAAUGCGCAGAUAUCGGGAAGAACACCAGUGGCGAAAGCGGCUCUCUGGGACGGUACUGACGCUGAGACGCGAAAGCGUGGGGAGCGAACAGG
rnacentral:rRNA from 1 species